GGCAAGAUGGCCGAGCGGUUAAGGCGUGUGACUCAAGCGAUUGCUUGCCUGCUCUAGCGGGUUUUCUCAUAACGUAAUGUUGCGUGGGUUCGAGUCCCACUCUUGUCA
rnacentral:tRNA from 1 species